rfam:Rhodopseudomonas palustris CGA009 complete genome.
AAUUGGAGAGUGUCGCCGGCAAUCGUCGCCCCCAGCCGACGGCGCUGUCCCGGGGACGGGUCGCAACCCCGCUCGUCCCCGCCUUUACACCUUCCGGAAGGAGUUCAGCCCCCCUCCGUCGGAAGGUCUAGGCGGGCGGUGGAGUCCCCCAGCUCCAUCGCCCGUUCCC